UACAGAGGGUGCAAGCGUUGUUCGGAAUUAUUGGGCGUAAAGAGCGUGUAGGCGGCCAGGUAGGUCGGUUGUGAAAACUGGAGGCUCAACCUUCAGAGGUCGACCGAAACCAUCUGGCUAGAGUCCGGGAGAGGAGAGUGGAAUUCCUGGUGUAGCGGUGAAAUGCGCAGAUAUCAGGAAGAACACCCGUGGCGAAAGCGGCUCUCUGGAACGGUACUGACGCUGAGACGCGAAAGCGUGGGGAGCGAACAGG
rnacentral:rRNA from 1 species